rnacentral:lncRNA from 1 species
UCAUAAACCCUAUAUAUGAACUUGAUAUAUCAAUGGUGAUCAUGCCCUACCUACAAAAGAGUUAGGCAAACACAAAGACAUAUUUUUGUAUUUUGGUUAGUAAAAUGAUAAUAUACAAGUAUGAUACAAUCACAUAGUGCUUGGUGAUCUCUCCCAAGACAAACGCAAUGAAAGAGGGGUAAGGAGGAUGUCAAGGUAUGAUCCCAACGCUAAUGCUUAUGAUGAAAUUGCAUGAGGGAUCUUAGGGUCAAAAUUGGUGUCUUACACCUGACUCCAUGCUCGUGACUCAUAACAAACCCUUUGAUUCUUGGUUGAUACGAUCAAGUCUUGUCAAUAUCAAUGGAACUUGGGUGUUGAUAAGGUGAAAACCAUAAUCCACCAAAAUGGAUAAUUGAUCUUGAUGAUGACUUGAUCCGUCCCUUGACCUUUACUUGUGCUUGCCUUGUUUAUGAUCCCUUGUGUGUGAUUGUUACAUUCAUGUAUACAUGCGCAUCAUGACAUUCAUCACAGAAAAUAAAUUUCAAGGAACUAAGGUCUUGUUUGCAAAUGUUUUCAGACCAUGGAUUAUGGACGAAGGAACAUUAAGAAGUACAGUUUAAGAUGUCCUGAUUUGAAAGAGCUAAGGAAGUUGUCAUCCUUUGUAUUAGAUCCCUUGGACUUUAAGCAACGUCAUGGGAACCAUUUAUCUGUGUUAUCUGCUGAUAUGGUUGAAGGACUUCUGAGUGUGUUGGUUCAGUUUUAUGAUCCUCUCUACCAGUGCUUCACUUUUCCUGAUUAUCAGCUUGUGCCUACGUUAGAGGAGUAUGCCCAUCUCUUGGGAAUACCCGUAUCUGACAAAGUACCUUAUAGUGGAUUAAAGGAGAUUCCCAGAUCUCAUAUCAUAGCUGAAGCUCUUCAUCUGAAGAUAUAUAAGAUUGAUGCUCAUUUGGUGAAGAAAGGAGGUAUUUUUGGGUUGACUUCUGAGUUCCUCAUUGGUAAAGCUAUUUUUUUUGCUCAAGCAGGUAACAUGGAUGCUUUCGAAGCCAUAUUUGUAUUGCUCAUCUAUGGUUUAGCUUUGUUCCCUAACAUUGACGGUUUUGUUGAUGUUAAUGCCGUUUGAAUUUUCUUGAUUGGGAAUCCUAUUCCUACUCUGUUGGAUGACAUGUAUGUCUCUUUGCAUUUGAGGAAUUCUAAAGGUGGUGGGACUAUUGUGUGCUGUAUUCCUCUUCUGUACAAGUGGUUUAUUUUGCACUUGCCUCAGACGUUUGCUUUUUUAGAGAACAAGCAAUGUCUACGGUGGUCUUAGAGACUUAUGUCUCUCACUAAUGAUGAUAUUGUUUGGUAUGAUUCUGCAUUGAGUAGUGUGGACAUUAUUGACAGUUGUGGUGAAUUCACUAAUGUGCCUCUUGUAGCGGUGUAUUCGUCACCUUAUGAUUUAUUGACUAAAUCAAAAGCAAAGCAUACAAAAAUAGAGUCGCCACCGUACUUCUAUUUAUCCAAAGGAAUGGCUAGAAAGCGAACAAAAGCCUAUGAAGUUUUACACAGAGAAAACUAAUAAAAGGCCAGAGAUCUGGGUAAGGGGGUAAUUAUGCAAAGGGAAGGUGUUAGGCACCCAAUGCAUCCUAGGUACUCCUAGGGAACCUCUUUUCACAAAUGUUGUAUUAUUAUUUGUUUAUGAAAUAUUUUUGUGCAAACCAUGAUUGAAGGGAUGAGAAAAGAAUAUACAAUUUUUAUUAUUUUUGUGUUUGAAUGGAUGAACUCAUUGCCUACGUACCUUUUCAUGAAAGAUAAGGAUCAAAACGCCGUAGUUCGGCUAAAAGAUUUCCAAAAAGUGAGUGGAUUGAUUUUAAACAAGAACCUUAAGGUCUUUCAUUAUCAACGGGAGAAAACUCAACCUGAACCAACAAUCCACCAUGUGAGAAAAGCUUCGACAUGCUAGUGAGGGGUUAACCCUAUAAUAAGCAUGGAAGUCUUACAAUUCAAUCACUAAGGAUGCGGUGAGAUUUACAUCAACCACUAUAAUAAUUCAGAUAUAUGGCUAAUGUAUGAAAACUUGAUUAAGAGAGUGGACAAGGGCCACAAAAGCAAUUGAGUGAGUGAAAUUAACCAAUUAGAAUUAUUCACAAAGAAUGGUCAAAGUUGACAUUAGAUUCAAUUCAAAAGAAGUAUUGUGAAAAUGAAGUUUGAAAAUCAGAGGCUUAAGGCCUAGGUUUCUAGUUUUGAAAACAGAUGAAAAUGUUUGCACAAAGUUUUCUGGUUUGGGUUAAAGAUGAAAACAAGGUUCAAGGUUAAGCACAAAAGGGUUAAGGGACAAAAAACAGAUGAAAAUGUUUGCACAAAGUUUUCUGGUUUGGGUUAAAGAUGAAAACAAGGUUCAAGGUUAAGCACAAAAGGGUUAAGGGACAAAGCCACAAAUAGGAAUCGCUUUCUCAAAAUCAUAGGAAUGAUUCAAGGAAGUUCCUUUGGAAUUAGGCAACACAAGGCAAAAGCAAAUAAGCAAGCUCAAAGGAGCAACAAAACUGGAAAUGGAUUGCCAAUAAAUGGUCUUACGUCCAACUCCGGAAACAAAUGGGAAACGGAGUGCCAAUAAAUGGUCUUAUGUCCAACUCCACAAAGCGACAUGGGAAACAGAUAGCCAAUUAAUGGUCUUACGUCUGACUCCACAAAAAGAAAACAAGUAGGAAAUAGAUAGCCAAUCAAUGGUCUUACACCUGACUCCUCAAAACAAAACAAACACAGGAAACAAAUAGUCAAUCAAUGGUCUUACACCUGACUCCUCAAAACAAAACAAUAUAGGAGAUGGAGUGCCAAUCAAUGGUCUUAUAUCCAGCUCCCCAAAAGGAACAGGAAACAGAUAGCCAAUCAAUGGUCUUACAUCUGACUCCUCAAACAAAAAAAAUAACAAAUGCAAGAGCAAAAUGCAAACAAUAUGCAAAAGCAACAUGAAGGAUGCACAAGUAAGCAACCAAGCAAACAUAUCAAUCAAUUAUCACACGCUAUACACAACCAAGAGGCUCAUACAAGGCUGGGCUUUAGUUAAGGGGUCAUAUCAACCUCGACAAACAAGCCAGAUAUGUAAGGGUGUUUGGGCUCUUAACCACUGACAUUGACCGUCAGGGUGAGCAGAUGAAAUGGGAGAUGAGGGUUAGACCUCAUAGCUCUCAACCCUGGCCGGGGUGAGCUUGAAUCAAAGAAGGUGUGGGAGUCCAGAAUAAGGAACUCUACUCCACAAUGACUGACUCUAUAUACAAUGAUCUUGGGUGUUUAUUCAAAUGCAUCAGCACAUAGUGCGAGCAAUAUGAAAGACUCAACUGAAUAGCAGGGGAUGGAUUGCACAUCCCUCCUAUCUGCCAAUGCCUUCACUUAGGAGGUCUUACAAUGUAACCAUGCCUCACUGAGGUCUUUAGCACAAAAUUAAACAAUCAAGAAUGUGGCCUCUUAAGGAGGGCUUCAGACAGGUGCCUGCCAAAGAUAGCAGGUCUCCAGACUACAUGGAGUUAAGGAAAUACCAAGUGUUGCAACACCAAGCACAGCAAGCAACUCAAGUAAUGAGUUAAAGCUACUAAAGUACCUGUAAGAAAAUCAAACAAGUCAAUAUUCACAUUCAGACAAACUAAACAAACAGUCAACAGUCAGACAACCAAUAUACACAAUGUAAGUCAACAACUCAAGUGAAUUAGCCAUCCAAGGACCUACAACACAAUCAACAUUAGUUAAACAAAGCAAAUUGUAUCUCAAGCAAGGAGAUUACAUCAUCCAUUAGGAAUUAUUGCUUGAACCUGAAAUGCAAAGCUCAAAUUGUGAGUACAAACCCCUAAGGCAAAGCCUAGGGUCAAAGGUGAAGUAAAAAGUCAAAACAGCAACCAACAUUCAACAUGAAUCACAUUUAAUCAAGUAAGAACAUGUCCUAAAAAGGACCAAGCCAAAAGCAUUAAGCAAAGUCAUGUAGUGAGCAAGAGAAGACAAAGGCAAUUUCAAAGCACACAAUUGAACAUUAAGAAUCAAAAUUCCAUAUUAAAACAGAAAUGAAUCAAACAAUCCUGGAAAUUUUUAUGUGCACAUAAUAUGUCAAACAUAAUCACCAUGCCAAAAAUUAGAAUCAACAGAGUUCAAUUGACCUAGAAAUGAAAAUGCACAAGUAUGACAUCAAAUUGUGUGACACACAUUGUCACACCAAAAGUUUAUGUGUCUAAAACAGAAAUCAAAAAUGAUAAAAAUGCACCAUCAAGCCUCAAAGGUCAAGCAACAUGUUGGGAAUCAUCAUACAAAAUUUCAUGGCAAUUGGAUCAUUUUUGAGCAUUUCACACUAGAAAGAAUGAAGCAAUGUCACAAAUGCAUAUAUGAUCAAUCAACCAAUCACAAUUCAAAUUCCAGAGAUGAUAAAAUCAUGAAACCAUCACCAAAAGAUAAUAGACAAACACAUGAACAUUUUGCAAAAAAUUGGGAAUUAAUUGGAUAUGUUUUCAAUUUUAUAUGAUUUUUCAAAGUUGGAUAAAAUGUUUGAAAUAAAUGAGCAAACACAUGUUGAAAAUGGAGGGAAAGAUUAAAUGAUGAAUUAAUUUGAAAACAUGUCUCAGGCUGGAAUCGAACUCGGUGGCAAUUAAAUGAAGCGCUGAAACACAAAUAAUCCAGAAAUGUUCACGUUGGGAAUCGAAUGGGGGAAGGAUGAAACGCAGAGUUUCAUUAAUGCGUUGGCGUCCACGUCACUGAGUCAAAGGCCAUGUGGCUUGGUCAAAAGAACGCUGGCCAACGGAUACGCCAACGAUGUGCUUGCAUGGACAUGACCAUGCAAAGCCCUAGCGCUAAAACCAGAAGGCAGCGCUACAGUACCAGGGCGGCGCGCACGGUGGAAGCCACCGUCUUCUUCAUGAAGACGGUGGAGAAACAGUAACUUCAUGCAAGAAAUUUUCCAGAAUCAUGCAAUAUCUAUACCAAAUGAAAGCUCUUGCUACGUACAUUACAGAUCAAGCAAUAUCUAAGGCUAAUUCAUCAUGAAUCUUGAGAAUCGAUCAAAACAUUAUUGGAUACAAAACUUUAAAUCCACAUAACUCGGUCAAUAUUCAUCCAAAUCACAUGAAAUUUUCAUCAGCAUGCUCAGCAAGAGAAGGUCUACACUAUCAUGGCAAAAGAUUGGAGAAUUAAGAGCUUCGAAAAACCUACCUCUUGAAGAACAGUUUCUGGAAUCAACAGUUUCAAGGCCUGACACGAUUCAAAUCCACUCCUCUAUCACUGUUAUGAAGCUUUAUGAAGAAAUUGAGGCUUGGAGAGGCUUAGAUCUAGCUCAAAUAACAGUUUCCAUCUUCACCUUCAUGAGCUUGAUAUGCUUGAUUUCCACUCAAAUCCUUCAAAACAAAGUUUGAUCUGCACUAAAGGAGGGUCAGAGAACAAGAAUAUACAAGAAAAUCACUAGCUUAUGUGAAGAAAAUUUGAAUUUGGAUUGAGAGAAAAUUUUGGAGGGAAGAAGAAUUUAGAUCUAGAAAUGGUGAAGAUCCAGAAAUUCUGUUAAAAUUCUGUUAGGAUUUGGUAUAUAUACUCAGUCUUAAUCACAUCCUAAUUAAAAUUAAGCAUGGUUUAAUUGAGAUUAGUGAAAAUGGGGUGUGUGACCAAAAAUGACAAUUUGUGUGGUGCAUGGGAAAUGCAUACGUGAACAGUACCAAAUGGGAGCUCAAAUUCACUUAAAAUCUUCCAAUGAACACAAUGGCAAUGGUAUUUUGUCCAUACAAUGCACCAAUUUUAAAUUUAUCAUUUUCCCUCUAAAAUAGUCAUGAAAGAACAAAUGAUCAUGUGAUGAAAUUUCAUGCAAUGUGAUGAAUGAUUUGGAAAUUAGAGGUCAUGACAAGCAAAAUGCAAAAAGAGGCACUCAUUUUGGAGUUAUGAGUCAAAAGUUAUGGCCUUUUGAAGUUCCAUGCACACUUGGCAAUGAUUGGACCAUAUCUCCUCAACCAUUCAUCUGAUGCUCAUGAUCUUGGGCUUUUUGGAAAUGGGAGAGAGAGAUCUUAAACUUUCAUGUUGGACAAAAGUUCAUUUGAAGCUUCUUUGAUGUUGGAAAGUUGAGUUGAAGUUGGUCCAAAAACAUUCCAUUUUUGGAAACUUGAAAUUAUAGGUCACUUUCCAUUUUGGGAAACUUUUGUACUGGCUUCAAAUUCUUCAAUGUAGAUGUUUGACAUGAUGAAUAAGCAUUGUUGGCACAUGAAUGGGAUGAAGAAACUCAAUUUCCCAAUUCAAAAACCACAGUUGACUUUCAGUUGACUGGCAUAGGCCUUUAGAUGACCUGAAAAUGUUUUGAUGAACUUGGGCCUUUGCCACUUGGGGAAUUUGCUUCACAAUGGACCUCUAGCUCACAUAAGCUCAAAAUAAUGAUCACAUGAUCCAUAUCUCAAGGAAAACCUCAUCUCUUGCACAAAGGAUUCACUUGAUUGCCUUGACUUGUUGAUUGUUUAAGCUGCAAGACAAAGGUUAAUGACAUAUUUUUGUACAUUUUUGGUUAGUGAUUAAUAGAAAAGCAAUGAUACACAAAUGCAAGGAAUGCUUGGUGAUCAAGAAUUACUCUCAAGAAAGAUCCCACCCACAGGGAAGGAAGCAAGGUGUCCAAUGAUCCUUGAGGCAAUGCAAUGUUAUGAUAUGAUGCCAUGAGGGAUCUUAGGGAUAAAAUUGGGGUCUUACACCUCUCAUUGGUACACAAGGAGGAAUCAACUAUAACCCUGCUUUGAAUCGUCGUCAACUUGGGUUCUCCUUGAGAGAUAAACCUAAUAACACUCAGUUAGAAGGUCUAUUUUAUAAAGAGGGUAAUGAUCCUCAACAUUUGAAGCAAAAGAUGAUACAUGUGUGGCAUAAUAUGCAUAGGAAAGGAAGAUCUGAGCUUAGUCAGCGCAAAUGUGUAGCUCUGGGAGCUUACACUAUUUGGGUGAAGAAGAGAGCUUUGGAGCUGAAGAUGCCAUACGCUUGUGAAAGAACUAUAUCUAUGGUUAUGGCUGAGCCAUCAACUCUCCCUAACCAAGAUAUAGAGGAGUUGGAAGACGCACUCACCAAGAUGAAGCAAGAGAGAGAUAUGUGGGAAGAGCGGUUCCAUACUUUGAGCUGAAAGCAUGAGGAGUUGUAGCUUGAGUCAAAAGACAAGGAUGCACUUAUUGAGAUUCUUGAAGACCGAGCAGUGAAAAGACAGAGAGAUCCAGAUGGUCUACCUUCCUCUAUUAUGCCUCAGCCUUCCAGUGCUUGGAAGAAGAUUAUUGAUCAGCUAGUUCUUGAGAAGGCUCAGAUGAAGAUAUCCUUUGAGUUUGAGAUUCUACACAUCCGAAGGAAGUAUUCACAAUAGCCAGAUCAUCUGACGCAGUUGCUAAGGGAUCCUUAGGAUGAUAGUUUCCUUUUCUCUUGUAUUUGUACUUUGGUUUCUGAAAUUGUACUUAGUGUAAUCCUUCCAAAUUUUAUGAAUAAAAAUAGAUUUUAUGGUCAAUCAAAUUAUUGUUAUUUGAAUAUAAAUUUGCAAAUAGGACUUCAUAUGUUCCUUGAAAUUAAAAAACAUUGCAUUUCAUACAUCAUUUGCACAACACGUUUUCUUCCGCCAGAUGUCUUAUCAGUUCUCCUUCUAUGCAUCAGCCAAGCUGACUCACCGUUACAAUACUCGCGCUAAUCAACCAAGGAUCAUGGAGCAUCUAGAGCAAGAGAGCAGAGAGCUAAAGGACGAGAUCACCAGAUUAACGACUAUGAUGGAAUCUGUCAUUGCUGCAUAUAAUCAAUCUUCACCAUCUUCUGCAACUCCUCCCUAGAUGACUUUUAUUUCUGAGGUUGCUACCUUAACUGUUCCUGUUGCUGCUGCCAUUCAAUCCAUGCCCUCUAUGCCUGCUGGGUUUCCUUGGGGAAUUCCAUCAAAUUUUAUGCCAGAAGGGUAUGCGCCCACCUUUGUUUCUCUGUCGGCAUCUAGCCCGGUCAUGUCAGUGCCUCCCCCGGUUGUUCACACUCUUCCUCGUGUUAAGGAUACUAUCUACCUUUCUGACCCGUCUGAGGGCCCAGAUGUAUAUGAGAAGAUGGAUGAGAUGAAAGAUCAAUUCCUCUAGCUACGUAAAGAGUUGAAUACCUUGAGAGGAAAAUACUUGUUUGGGAAGAGUUCUGUUGAACUUUGCUUGGUCCCCAAUGUUAAGAUCUCGGUGAAAUUCAAGGUCCCAGACUUUGAAAAGUACGAAGGGAAUACUUGCCCACUAAGCCAUCUUGUGAUGUACGUCAGAAAAAUGUCUACUCAUACUGAUAAUGAUCAGUUGUUGAUUCACUAUUUCCAAGACUGUUUAACUAGAGUUGCUUUAAGGUGGUAUAUGGGUUUGGAUAGUGCAAAAAUUCUUACUUUCAACGACUUAGGCGAGGCCUUUGUCAAGCAGUAUAAGUACAACGUGGAUAUGGUGCCUGAUGGAGACCAGAUGAGGUCUAUGUCUCAGAAAGAUAAAGAGACAUUCAAACAAUAUGCCAGAGAUGGAGAGAGCUUGGUGCCCAGACAAGUCCACCUCUUGAAGAGAAAGAGAUGCGAAGAUGUUCUUGAAGAUGUUGAGUUUGUUUUAUUAUGAAUGUAUGAUUGCGGGUGCCCCCAACAAUUUUACCGAAAUGGUAAACAUGGGGAUGAGGCUAGAAGAAGGAGUCCGUGAAGGACAUAUGUCUAAAGAAGAAGCAUCAUCCAACAAGAAAUAUGGUUGGAGUUUCUCCAAGAGGAAGAAAGGAGAAACUAAUUCAGUGUCAGUAGGGAGGCAGAGGAGGCCUCAUGUCAGAAAGAGUUCUCAACCCUGUCAACAUCAGUAUCAAGUUUCCUCAGUAAUUCCGUUUUUUUCCAUCAAUUUCAACAAUCAAUCAGUUCCAAUUCAACAACAACAACAUCAACAACAACUGCAACAAUGAACCAACUACAACAACAAUAAUCAUCAAUAAAACUUUGAGAGGAAGAAGGUCUCCUUUGACCCUAUUCCUAUGAAUUAUGCAAAAUUGUAUCCAUCAUUGGUUCUCAAGAACCUCAUUCAACCAAGAAAUCCUUCGCCGAUUCCUGAGCCAUUACCAUGGUGGUUCAAACCCGACCUUCAUUAUGCUUUUCACUAGGGAGCCCAUGACCAUGACAUAUAAAACUGCUAUCCAUUGAAAUAUGAAGUCCAAAAGCUUAUAAAUAGUGGUAUGGUGUCCUUUGAGGAUAAAUCACUGAAUGUAAAAGCCAAUCCGUUGUCUGCUCAUGGUAACGCUUCUGUCAACAUGGUGGACGGCUGUCCAGGGAAUUUUAGAGUUUUUGAUGUACGACGUAUCCGAAGAUCUCUGGUGGAGAUGCAUAAGACAUUGUGUUUGAUCAGUGAUUGUGAACAUGACCAUGAUGGUUGUGUCAUCUGUAGUGUGAACCCCCGUGGGUGUAUGGUCGUCAAGAGAGAUAUCCAGACGUUGAUGGAUGAGAAUGUAAUCUAGAUUAAAUAGUCAAGGGAUAUAGAUGAUGUGAAUGUUAUUGUACCGGUGUUCAAGACCCAUGAGCGGGUAGUUAUCGAGUUCGAUAGUAGCAACAACAAUAAUGUUAACAGAUCGGUAUCGUCGUUGGUUAUACGGUUAGUGGGCCCUGUCCCGUAUGCAUCCGAUAAAGCUGUGCCAUAUCAAUAUAACGCCAUUAUGAUUGAAGAUGGUCAAGAGGUUCCUCUACCAGUCGCCGACUCAGUGGUGAAUAAUGCAGAUAUUACGAAGGUGACUCGUAGCGGUUGUGUGUCCAGUCCCGUGUUUCCAAAGAUAGUAGAAGAUGUUGCAGCAAGUAAGAAAGCAGAGAUUCCUAUAGUGAAUCCAGUUAGUACUCCAAUGUGUCAAUCUGGUGAAUCCAUCAAAUUGAAGACUAACAAUGAUGAUGAGGUGCUAAAGUUGAUCAAAAGAAGUGAAUUCAAUAUUGUGGAGCAGCUACUCCAGACGCCGUAAAAAAUCUCCAUACUGUCACUGCUAAUGAAUUCUGAAGCACAUAGGGAAGCGUUGCAAAAAGUUCUAGAGCAGGAUUAUGUUGAGCACGAUGUGACCGUGGAUCAGUUUGACCAUAUAGUUGCCAACAUUACUUCUUGUAAUAAUCUGAGUUUUGUGAUGAAGAUCUUCCCGGGGAAGACAUGAAUCACAAUUUGGCACUCCAUAUUUCGAUGAAUUGAAAAGAGGAUGCUCUGUCCAAUGUGCUGGUUGAUACAAAGUCAUCUUUGAACGUGCUCCUGAAAUCAACUCUGUAAAGACUCUCUUAUCAAGGCACCCUAAUGAGGUACAACAACGUGAUUGUCAAAGUGUUCGACGGUUCUCGUAAAACUGUCAUUGGUGAAGUGGACCUUCCAGUGAAGAUAGGUCCGAGUGAUUUCCAUAUUACUUUCCAGGUAAUGGAUAUCCACCCGACCUACAGUUUCUUAUUGGGAAGGCCAUGGAUUCCUGAAGCUGGAGCUGUGACAUCUACUCUACAUCAGAAGCUAAAAUUUGUGAAGAACGACAUGCUUGUUAUUGUUGGUGAAGAGAAGGCAUUGUUAGUGAGCUAUUUGUCAUCUUUCACUUAUUUUGAUGAUGAGGAGAAGAUUGGAACAAAGUUCCAGGCCUUAUCCAUUGCUGAUGAAAUGAAGAAAACUGGGGCACCCAUGUCUUCUUUAAAAGAUGCGCAAGAGGCUAUUCAAGUUGGUAACAUUUACAAGUGGGGUCAUGUUGUGGAGAUUACCGAGAACAAGAAUAGAGCUGGAUUGGGAUUUCAACUAGGGCCAUUCAGUGCCAGAGCCAAAGUUAUGCAACCAAUUUUCUGCAGUGGAGGGUUCAUUAGUGAGAAUGAUCAACACUUAGCCGCCAUUAUUGAAGACAGUGGUGAUGAAGACGAAGCUUGCGCCAACUUUGUGACGCAUGGCCAGACUUGCAACAACUGGAUUGUUGUUGAUGUUCCUGUUUUCAUUCAUCGUUCUAAGUAAUUUGUUUUAUUUAUUUUAAGAAAAUCCUUCUCUUAUGCCUAAGGGAGAAGUGAACAUUGUUGGGCAUUUUAUUAUUAUCAUCAAUAAAAUACGAUUUUAUUCAUCCACAUCUAUGAUGUUUUAUAUUUUCUUUUUGCUUUUUGCUUUUUCUGAAAAUGGUAAUCACAAAAAACAUAACAAAUAGUAAUCUUCCAUCUGCAUAAUAUUUGUUCACACUCCACUUCUCUAAAAUCAAAAUAUCAAAUGAUUAUGCAGGUUGGUUCUCAAACCCAUUGAAUACAAUGAUCCUACUCCCUCUCCAAACUUUGAUUUCCAUGUGUUUGAAGCUAAGGAAGAAAGUGAUGAUGAAGAAAUAUCUGAUGAAUUAUCUCGUUUGCUUAAGCACGAGGAAAAAGUCGUUCAGCCAUUUAAAGAACAAAUUAGUCAACUUGGGUUCCGAGGACGAUGUGAAAGAAGUCAAUAUUGGGUCUCAACUUUGUCUAGAAGCUAAGAAGGGGUUGAUUGAUCUUCUUCGAGAUUAUUCUGAUGUGUUUGCUUGGUCCUAUCAAGACAUGCCAGGGUUGGAUUCUGAGAUUGUGGAGAAUAGAUUGCCGUUGAAGCCAGAAUGUCCGCCAGUCAAGCAGAAGUUAAGAAGAACUCAUCCUGAUAUAGCAGUUAAGAUCAAAGAGGAAGUGCAGAAGCAGAUUGAUGCUGGUUUUCUUGUAACCUCUGAAUAUCCGCAGUGGGUGGCCAAUAUUGUGCAUGUUCCUAAGAAAGAUGGAAAAGUACGCAUCUGUGUUGAUUAUAGAGAUUUGAAUAAAGCUAGUCCAAAAGAUGAUUUUCCUCUGCCACACAUUGAUAUGUUGGUAGACAAUACAUCUAAAUUCAAAGUCUUUUCAUUUAUGGAUGGAUUUUCCAAUUAUAAUCAAAUCAAGAUGGCACCCGAAGAUAUGGAGAAGACCACAUUCAUUACACCCUGGAGAAUAUUCUGUUAUAGAGUGAUGCCUUUCGGUUUAAAGAAUGCUGAUGCAACGUACCAGAGAGCUAUGACCACUCUUUUUCAUGAUAUGAUGCAUAAAGAGAUUAAAAUUUAUGUUGAUGAUAUGAUUGCCAAGUCAAGUGAUGAAGAAGAGCAUGUUGAGCAUUAGUUAAAGUUAUUCCAGCGAUUGAGGAAGUACAAACUCCACUUGAAUCCCAAUAAGUGUACUUUUGGUGUUCGUUCUGGUAAGUUAUUGGACUUUAUUGUCAGUGAGAAGGGUAUUGAAGUUGAUCCUGCCAAGGUCAAAGCAAUACAAGAAAUGCCUGCGCCCAAAACUGAGAAGCAAGUCAGAGGAUUUCUCGGCCGCUUGAAUUAUAUCUCAAGAUUUAUAUCGCAUAUGACUGCCACAUGUGCGCCUAUUUUCAAGCUUCUUCAGAAAGAUCAGUCUUGUGAUUGGACCGAAGAUUACCAUAAAGCUUUUGAUAGUAUCAAAGAGUACUUGCUUGAGCCUCCUAUUUUGUCUCUGCUUGUUGAAGCAAGACCGUUGAUCAUGUAUUUGACUGUGUUGGAUGAUAGUAUGGAUUGUGUUCUUGGUCAGCAAGGUGAAUCGGGAAAGAAAGAAUAUGCAAUUUACUACCUCAGUAAGAAAUUCACCGACUGUGAGACUCGGUAUUCUAUGCUUGAAAAGACAUGUUGUGCAUUGACUUGGGCUGCUAAGCGUCUACGCCAAUAUAUGUUGAACCAUACCACUUGGUUGAUAUCCAAAAUGGAUCCAAUCAAGUAUAUCUUUGAGAAGCCUGCUUUAACUGGGAGGAUUUCCCGUUGGCAGAUGUUGUUAUCUGAGUAUGAUAUUGAAUAUCGAUCUCAGAAAGUUAUCAAGAGUAGUAUCUUAGCAGACCAAUUGGCUCACCAACCGAUUGAAGAUUACCAGUCAGUGCAGUAUGAUUUUCCUAACGAAGAGAUUUUGUACUUGAAAAUGAAAGAUUGUGAUGAACCGCUGCUUGAAGAAGGGCCAGAACCUGGUUCCCGUUGGGGCAUGGUAUUUGAUGGAGUUGUUAAUUCAUAUGUGUCAUACCCCAAUUUGGUCAGGGCAUUUCAAAAUUUUCAUAAAUUUGAUUUAAUUUUCAGUUUUCAUCAUAUCUACAGCAUAACACGCAUUUCAUCAUGAAUAACACAUAAAAUAUCAGUCGGAAUAAAUUCUUGAAAAUACAAACAAGUUGGUUAAAUCAUUCCUCAAGUACGGACAAAAUCAGCGGAUAAAAAAGUUUUGAAAUUAAACUUGCAGACGUCAGUAUUAUUAAUCUAUGGUUCACGUAGUUUAAUCUGGUGUGCUCGUUUUAUUUUUCGACGACUUUUUCAGUCGCAUUUUGAUCCAUCUGAGCCUUUUAACCGGUGAAAAUUUAUUUCAAAAUUUAAAGAAACGCUGUAUUUUUUCAAUAAGUAUAUUUCGUGCUGAUCAUUUUAGUGCGUCUGAUUUAAUUUUUUGAGCAAAUUUUUGCCCGACUUUUAUUCAUUUUUAGUCGUUUUAAUUUUACUCUUUUGCCAAAAUAUUCAGAUUAAAUAAAUAGAAUUUUCCAUGUCCUUAGUUUAUUUUUAUCACAUUAAUUUAAGGAGUUGUCAAUUUUAUUUGAUUUAAUUGAUUUAAAUGGUUUAAAUCAAUUAAAUCAUAUAGAAUGGGCGUUUUAGGCAUUUUAAAUUAUCUAACAACUUUUGUUUCUUUGUGUGUUUCCUUAAGUUAUAUUGGGAUCAUCGGUUCAAAUUUAUCAAUGACCCAUAAUGGCAAUCCUUCUCCAUUUCAUUUCAUCCAAUCAAAAAUAAAAUAAAAUUAAUUGAAUUAAAAAUGACAAAGAAAAUUAGAAAAUAAAAAUAUCUUGUUUCUCCCCAGUAAAGUUGAGCCACACGUCCGUUAUGGAUAAGGAUUAUAUUUUUUUUAACUAAAGAAAAUGAAAUACAACUCAAUAACCUCUGUCCACUAAUGAAUCUCUGUUGGUCUAACGGUAAGAAAGGAAAAAAAACAAAAAGGACAACUAGCCUCCACACUCUCUCAGAGACUCUCUCAUUUUCCAAUGGCUAUAGGUCACAGAAAAAUAAAAUAAAAAGGAAAAAGGGGAACACCGUUCAUGUUCUUUCCCACAACUCCAUUCACUCACGUAGAACGCCAAUCAACCACAAUAAGCCGCCGGAAAACAUUAACUCAUUACAAUCGCCGCCUCCAUAAAACCUCCUUCACACUCACCUCCGCUGCGAACCCGGACCACCGUCCCAUCCAACCUUCCGCCACGAAUCUAAUCCCCACCGUUAUCUUCCCACCAUCACAAAGUCCCCUCUCCAACUUCUCUGUCGCGGCUACAACACCACGACACCCCCCCGUUGCACCGUCGGUGGCAACCCCAAACCAUCCGCCGGCGAACCCUUAUCCGUCUGUCACCAAUUCCGACCACCGCAAAACCAUCUCACUUCGCUCAUUCCAUCUCCGUUCCUUCACCUGCGCAAACUAAGCGCCAUAGUCGCCCAACACACCUCUCCUUCUUCUUCUCUAAGUUCCGCCGGCAAACGAUUCUUCCGUUGGAAACACCAUCACCAUCAUAAAACUCUCCUCAUCAUGGAAUCACAGUCCAUUUCCUUCAUACACCCUCGCCGACAACGUCCAAAACAUUACUCCCUUUUACUACUUCAGAUCUACAAACUCAACCGUCGCCCGUGAAUCCUCCACCGCGACCCACCUUCAACUACCGCAUGAUCCUUUUUCCGACCGACCAACCCCAAGCUACACCAUUCAACAUCGUCAAACACAUGACGCCCAUCGCCGGCGGAAUAUUACAUCUACCUGCACCGUCAAGCCUCUCUCGUUACGGUAUUCUUGCGUCACCGUCAUUUUCCGUGUUUGGUUGGUUUUCCUGUCUUAUCUCUUUCUAUACUCGUUGUUCUAAUGAAUUUCAUGGAAUUGUAGCAUAUCUAUGAUGGUGUAUAUCGAUUAUGCCGGUUAUGUUUCAAUUUCAUCAUGUGACUUUUGUUGACUAUCAUGUUGUUGUGUUUGUUCAUAAGGAAGUUGGAAAAAGUAGCUAAGCACAUGCUUGUGUGGUUUAAUCUCUGUGUUUUUUUAUUAGGAUAUUAGAUUGUUGUGGAUCUUUUAAAUAUUGCAUGUAGUAAUAUAUUGAUUAAUUGGCCAAUAGAUUGUGAGAUAUUAAAAGUCUGUUACGGCUGAUUUUGGUUUGGUAUCUUGCCAAGAAUAUGUAAAUAAAAAGUUAAGUUAUAGCAUAUGAAUGGUGGUAAUCAUAAUUCUGAGUAGUAGUACAUAUAUUGUAAUUAUAUUUUGGUUAUAUCACAGUGUACAUAGAUUGUAAUUAUAAGUUGGUUAAAUUAUAGCAUAUGAACGGUGGUAGUCAUAAUUCUCAGUAGUAGUAUAUAUAUUGUAAUUAUAUUUUGGUUAUAUUACAGUGUACAUAGCUUGUAAUUAUAUUUUGGUUAUAUUAUAGCAUAUGAAUAGUAGUAAUCACAAUUCUGAGUUAAUUAAGUAUUAAUAUUUUAAUUGUAUUAACAAUUGAUUGCUAU